GCGCCAGUAGCUCAGCUGGAUAGAGCAUCGGCCUUCUAAGCCGGGGGUCGUGGGUUCGAGUCCCGCCUGGCGUACCA
rnacentral:tRNA from 1 species